rnacentral:rRNA from 1 species
UUGAGUUUGAUCCUGGCUCAGAUUGAACGCUGGCGGCAUGCUUUAGACAUGCAAGUCGAACGGAAACAGGACGCUGUGAUCUCUUCGGAGUGGACUUGUCGCUGUCGAGUGGCGGACGGGUGAGUAAUGCUUAGGAAUCUGCCCAGUAGUGGGGGACAACAGCUGGAAACGACUGCUAAUACCGCAUACGCCCUUCGGGGGAAAGCGGGGGACCUUCGGGCCUCGCGCUAUUGGAUGAGCCUAAGUCGGAUUAGCUUGUUGGUGGGGUAAUGGCCUACCAAGGCGACGAUCCGUAGCUGGUCUGAGAGGAUGAUCAGCCACACUGGGACUGAGACACGGCCCAGACUCCUACGGGAGGCAGCAGUCGGGAAUAUUGGACAAUGGGCGCAAGCCUGAUCCAGCAAUGCCGCGUGUGUGAAGAAGGCCUGAGGGUUGUAAAGCACUUUCAGUGGGGAGGAAAAGCCUAAGGUUAAUAGCCUUGAGCCUUGACGUUACCUACAGAAG